rnacentral:rRNA from 1 species
UGAGUAACCUGCCCUUCACUCUGGGAUAACUCCGGGAAACCGGGGCUAAUACUGGAUAUGACUCGAACAGGCAUCUGUUUCGGGUGGAAAGAUUUAUUGGUGGAGGAUGGACUCGCGGCCUAUCAGCUUGUUGGUGAGGUAAUGGCUCACCAAGGCGACGACGGGUAGCCGGCUGAGAAGGCGAUCGGCCACACUGGGACUGAGACACGGCCCAGACUCCGUACGGGAGCA